UCAUCGUUUAUAUUGUUUAUAACAUCGUCAGUUUUUAUAUGCAUUUAAUAUUUUUAAAAAUAGUUCAAAAGCUGUCAAAAUAAAAUGGUGAAUUGAGUUUAAACCAGAAAAGAUAUAAACGUAAUCUUUGGGAUUCAACUUGUAAGGAUGUUCCAAGAACCACUUAGUUGGAGAAGGAAAACUGUGCCGUUCAUUAACAAGUCCUGUGCUUUAUAAUAUAUUAAAAAAUGGAAGGACGUGAAGAAAACAGGUUUGUAAAUGAUGUUGUACAUCAUGCAGAUAGCUCAGAAGAAGAAGUAAGUUUUUUUUUUAAUUACAAAAGUAAAUAUAUAAUAUAAUAUUUGUUGCUGCCUUGUUCUAUAUAAAUGUUUCUAACAUGCAGGUAACAUUUAUAUAUGUAUUAGUUUGAAUAAAUCAUUUUAAUAAAGUUACAUUAUAGGCAGGAAUGUUUGACUGGAAAUAUAAACGAUGUUGUACAUAAUGCAGAUAGCUUAGGCAAAAAAGAGAUUGGUGAAAUGGAGAAUGAGACUAACUAGGGUGAAAAAAAAUGAAUAUUAAUAUGUGAAUGGUACUUUGUUUAACAUCUACCUGUUUCUACAGAUACAGUACAGACGCAUUUAUAAAUGGGCUUGAUGUUUUUUUGAAUUAAAUAUGUUGUAUUGA
rnacentral:lncRNA from 1 species